rnacentral:rRNA from 1 species
AGAGUUUGAUCCUGGCUCAGAACGUACGCUGGCGGCACGCCUAACACAUGCAAGUCGAACGAAGUAGCAAUACUUAGUGGCAGACGGGUGAGUAACAUGUAGGUAUCUACCCUUUGGCCUGGAAUAACACGAGGAAACUUGUGCUAAUACCGGAUAAGUCUUUACGGAGAAAGCUUUAUGCACCAUUGGAUGAGCCUGCACUUGAUUAGUUUGUUGGUGGGGUAAUGGCCUACCAAGACUGUGAUCAAUAGCUGAUUUGAGAGGAUGAUCAGCCACAUUGGGACUGAGACACGGCCCAAACUCCUACGGGAGGCAGCAGUGGGGAAUCUUGCACAAUGGAGGAAACUCUGAUGCAGCGAUGCCGCGUGAGUGAAGAAGGCCUUUGGGUUGUAAAGCUCUUUCGUCGGGGAAGAAAAUGACUGUACCCGAAUAAGAAGGUCCGGCUAACUUCGUGCCAGCAGCCGCGGUAAUACGAAGGGACCUAGCGUAGUUCGGAAUUACUGGGCUUAAAGAGUUCGUAGGUGGUUGAAAAAGUUAGUGGUGAAAUCCCAGAGCUUAACUCUGGAACUGCCAUUAAAACUUUUCAGCUAGAGUAUGAUAGAGGAAAGCAGAAUUUCUAGUGUAGAGGUGAAAUUCGUAGAUAUUAGAAAGAAUACCAAUUGCGAAGGCAGCUUUCUGGAUCAUUACUGACACUGAGGAACGAAAGCAUGGGUAGCGAAGAGGAUUAGAUACCCUCGUAGUCCAUGCCGUAAACGAUGUGUGUUAGACGUUGGAAAUUUAUUUUCAGUGUCGCAGCGAAAGCGAUAAACACACCGCCUGGGGAGUACGACCGCAAGGUUAAAACUCAAAGGAAUUGACGGGGGCCCGCACAAGCGGUGGAGCAUGUGGCUUAAUUCGAUGCAACGCGAAGAACCUUACCUGGGCUAAAUCAUAGUGGAAAUAGCUAGAAAUAGCUAUGCCUUCGGGCCGCUAUGAAGGUGCUGCAUGGCUGUCGUCAGCUCGUGCCGUGAGGUGUUGCCUUAAGUGGCGCAACGAGCGCAACCCCUGUGACUAGUUACCAGCACAUAAUGGUGGGGACUCUAGUCAGACUGCCUACGCAAGUAGUGAGGAAGGUGGGGACGACGUCAAGUCAUCAUGGCCCUUACGUCCAGGGCUGCACACGUGCUACAAUGGUCAGUACAGAGGGCUGCCACCUGGUGACAGGGAGCAAAUCCAUAAAGCUGGCCUCAGUUCGGAUUGUAGUCUGCAACUCGACUACAUGAAGUUGGAAUCGCUAGUAAUCGCGUAUCAGCUACGACGCGGUGAAUACGUUCCCGGGCCUUGUACACACCGCCCGUCAAGCGAUGGAAGUGAGGAGUACCUAACGUCGCCGUGCCAACCGCAAGGAGGCAGGCGCCUAGGGUAAGCUUCAUAACUGGCGCUAAGUCGUAACAAGGUAACC